AACGCGGCCUUGUCCCCUCACGGCCGUUGUCCCUUCAGGCCACCAUGGAGGCGACACCGGCACCGCGACCCAUCCAGGGCUGUGGAAAAGUGUCCCCGCAGGAAGAUGUCCUGAAGUAAAGAGUGACUUAAAAGAGCCUGGCAUGUGGCACACCAGGACUGGGAGCAGGUGGGCAGCUGGCCCUGAUGUGUGAAGGGAGUGCCUGCAGGUCUCUGCUGCCAUGUGCUGGAUGUUGGCCCUGAUGUGAGAGCUCUUCACAAGUCCUGUGGAGGGCACUGAGACAGCAGAGCAGGAGAAUAUGCUGGGUGGUGCUGCUGGAAACUUCUCUGUGGCAGGAGGACUCCCAGCAAAACAUCUGAGCUUGAGGAUUUUGUGUAAACAUUUUGCUGCCUGUUACAAAGUGGUAACAGUUAAUGUGCUUUAUUACCUGUACAUUAAAGUAAUUAUUAAAAUAAAAAAGUGU